GACAGAGGUGCCGAGCGUUAGGCGGAAUCACUGGGCUUAAAGCGUGUGUAGGCGGAUGCCUAAGUACCUUGUGAAAUCCACGGCUUAACCGUGGAACUGCUUGGUAUACUGGGUGUCUUGAGCCUUAGGGCGACCGGAACAAACGGGUGGAGCGGUGAAAUGCGUAGAUAUCGUUUGGAACGCCAAUGGUGAAAACAGGUCGCUGGGAGUGUGCUGACGUGAGACACGAAAGCCAGGGGAGCGAAACGGGG
rnacentral:rRNA from 1 species